rnacentral:rRNA from 1 species
UACGUAGGUGGCGAGCGUUAUCCGGAUUUAUUGGGCGUAAAGCGUCCGCAGACGGUUUAUUAAGUAUAUAAUUAAAGUCCGAAGCUUAACUUCGGUUCGUUAUAUAAACUGGUAGACUUGAGUACAGUAGAGGCAAGUGGAAUUUCUAGUGUAGCGGUAAAAUGCGUAGAUAUUAGAAGGAACACCAGUGGCGAAGGCGACUUGCUGGGCUGUUACUGACGUUCAUGGACGAAAGCGUGGGGAGCAAA